UCUCCAGACUCCUACGGGAGGCAGCAGUGAGGAAUAUUGGUCAAUGGCCGUAAGGCUGAACCAGCCAAGUAGCGUGAGGGAAGACUGCCCUAUGGGUUGUAAACCUCUUUUAUGCGGGGAUAAAGGUGUCCACGUGUGGAUGUUUGCAGGUACCGCAUGAAUAAGGACCGGCUAAUUCCGUGCCAGCAGCCGCGGUAAUACGGAGGAUGCGAGCGUUAUCCGGAUUUAUUGGGUUUAAAGGGUGCGUAGGCGGACUGUAAAGCCAGGGUUAAAAGCCCGGGGCCCAACCCGGGAGAGCCGUUGAAACUGGCUGUCUUGAGAUGUCGAGAGGUAUGCGGAAUGCGCAGUGUAGCGGUGAAAUGCUUAGAUAUUGCGCAGAACUCCGAUUGCGAAGGCAGCAUACCGGCGGCGAUCUGACGCUGAGGCACGAAAGCGUGGGUAUCGAACAGGAUUAGAUACCCCUGUACUG
rnacentral:rRNA from 1 species